CAUCGUGGAGCAGCUCAAGAUUCCGGCCGCCCGCCGCGUCUCGCAGCUCACCGACGCUGAAGUUCUCCAGAUCCGCGAAAUGAUCGACCGCGACUUCCUGGUCGAGGGCGACCUGCGCCGCGAAGUCGGCAUGAACAUCAAGCGCCUGAUGGACCUCGGCUGCUACCGCGGCCUGCGUCAUCGCCGCGGCCUUCCGGUGCGCGGUCAGCGGACCCACACCAACGCGCGCACGCGCAAGGGUCCUGCCAA
rnacentral:misc_RNA from 1 species